UACGGGGGGGGCAAGCGUUGUUCGGAAUUACUGGGCGUAAAGGGCUCGUAGGGGGCCAACUAAGUCAGACGUGAAAUCCCUCGGCUUAACCGGGGAACUGCGUCUGAUACUGGAUGGCUUGAGUUCGGGAGAGGGAUGCGGAAUUCCAGGUGUAGCGGUGAAAUGCGUAGAUCUACGAAGGAACGCCAAAAGCGAAGGCAGCUCUCUGGGUCCCUACCGACGCUGGGGUGCGAAAGCAUGGGGAGCGAACAGG
rnacentral:rRNA from 1 species